GACCAAUUGUGUUAACACACCCACAAGGAAUUUGGUUCCAGCAGUUUGUGAUUCUCAAAGAGAGCAAAUUGGUUAUAAUAUGAAGCAUAAAAUAACACUGAGGAUUUCUGAGUAUCAACUUUUUAUUGCCCACAUAAACUGUCAGAAUU